rnacentral:lncRNA from 1 species
CCUUUAUCUUAUGUAAAUAUAUUCCCACAACUUUAUUAUUACUUGGCAGAUACAGGAUGUGUUACAGGUGUCGUUUGUUAACAUCCUUCAUGCAACAUGUGAAUGAAACAGAAAACAACUUGAACAAACAUUUGAUGUCAGCUACUAACUUAAAUAUGUAAGAAAAAACUUUCCAACUUAGUAUCAUCACAUGGUGGGCAGGAGAUGUCAACAACAGCCAACUUAAAAAGGGUCAUUACAGACAUAACAAGGACCACACUGAUUGUUGUUCCCAUUUAUUUAAUUUCUUUCUUAUAGAAAGGUAUCGACUGCUAUCUCUUGCUCUGACAGGGUGCAUCGGAGACAGUAAUUGUGAAAUUUUUAGGGCAAUACCAUCGAACUACAUAUAAAAUAA